UGAUUUAUUUUUAAUUGAGCUGCAUUCUCUAUACAGCUUUUGGUGUCUUUUGCUUCUGUUCCUAUUAAAGUCAAAAAAUUUGUGCAUUUCAUGCCCCAGUAAUUCUUCUUUUGGUUUGCUGCCUAUGUUGUUUCACUUCGAACUAGCUAAUGAUAUGCAUUAUUAAGAUUUUUUAGCAACAUUCAUUUGUUUAUUUAGCAAGGGUUUUCUGUUCAUUUUUUCAUUUAUUUAUGUUGUAUUAAGUAUGCUGCAUUUAUUUUGUAGGUGAACGUUCCGAAAACCAAGAAGACCUACUGCAAGAACAAGGAAUGCAGGAAGCACACCUUUCACAAGGUUACCCAGUACAAGGGAAAGGAUAGCCUUUCAGCUCAAGGGAAGCGUCGUUUUAUGACCGCAAGCAGUCAGGAUAUGGUGGGCAGACAAAGCCUGUUUUCCACAAGAAGGUUUGAUCCUGAUUUCCCAAGUCUUUGCAGAUUCCAGGCCAAGACAACAAAGAUGAUUGUGCUGAAGUUGCAGUGCCAGAGCUGCAAGCACUACUCUCAGCACGCUAUCAAGAGGUGCAAGCACUUUGAAAUCGGUGGCGACAAGAAGGGCAAGGGAACCUCUCUUCUAAUCCGAUGAUAGGCUCCAUUGUCUGUCAAAAGUUAUUAUUAAGGAUGCUUAACUUGUUUUUCUCUUGAGAUGCAUCAGGUGGGACUAUCUAUGGAAUAGUAUUGAUGUAACCAAAGUUUUUCUUUGCAUCAGCUAUUUUGCUUGAUCCAGUUGGUAAUACC